AUAUUUUAUCUGAAUCUGAUGAGGUCAAAAUUGUGUUUGCAAAGCCAAUUGAGAAGGUUAGGAGUCAAAGCCAUGAAUUUAUAAAAUUUCUUCAAUCAAUCGUGGGAGAUGAAUAUGAAAUUGUUCCUGGCAGACUUGAUGUCUCCAAAAAUGAUCAAGGUCAACUCGAUCCUCUCAGGACAAGUUUGGUUUUAUAUGCAGUUAAUAAUGCAACUAAAAAGGUAGUUCCUCCUAAA
rnacentral:lncRNA from 1 species